UCCUGGCGUUGCUUAGUUGAACGCUCGGGUUUGAAUGGAAAGUUCUUAGUGGGCCAUUUUUGGUAAGCAGAACUGGCGAUGUGGGAUGAACCGAACGUCGAGUUGAAGUGCCUCAAUGUACGCUCAUCAGAUCCCAUAAAAGGUGUUGGUUCAUCUAGACAGCAGGACGGUGGCCAUGGAAGUCGGAAUCCGCUAAGGAGUGUGUAACAACUCACCUGCCGAA
rnacentral:rRNA from 1 species